rnacentral:lncRNA from 1 species
UUUUCACUAAAGUGAUCAUGUUGACAUUUCUUCUCAACUUUAACUCACAAUGUUGUCUGUGCUAAGCUAAAGAACCAAAUUGAUUUGAUAAUGCUAAUAUGUAUUAGUCCUAUGGAUGUACGUUGUGAUGGUUGCUUGAAGUCUGAGUAAAGAAACACCCAAGUGGUUUAAUGCGUGUAUUCUGGUGCUGUGAAAAUGAGAUUAUAAUUUUAAACAGGGGAAGUCUGAGUAACCUAGUUUAUGAAUUUACGCACCUAUGUUAGCGACUAAGUGUGAGGUGGUUUCUACAUCCCUCCACACACAGUGUUUUCUAGAUAUAAGGGAUAACCUGUCUAAAUUGUUUGUUGCAUGUUAUGAUGAUAGGUACUAUGGACAGCAGACAACAAAAAGGGAAAAAUAUUACUAGCCCAUCUGAGCCAACUAAGAAAAAAAUAGUCCAACUAGCCGGGUAUCGAGAGCUCCUGCUGUCCUACGUGGUCAGUCACAUAUAUAUGGAAAUUGAUAGGCACACAAAGCUAGUAAGAAAUAGUACUAAAAGAACAAUGAGACCAAAUAUGCCCCCGAUGAGUUCAUAAAUCGAGCAAACUUACUGAGUGAGUACCCUAGCAUGGUACGGAUGUUGGAGCAGCUGCACAUGAACUUCCUAUUUGAGCAGACCAUUGAGACCAACUUGUACCUCAUCAGAGAAUUUUAAGCAUACUGGGACCCCAGGGAUCCCAAUUCUAAAGUAAAGAUCCAUGGAAAAGUAGUUACCUUCUCGGCCCAUGAUUUGAAUGCUAUUUUAGGUACUCCUGAGGCAGAUGACUAUCACCCCACCCUAUGUCGACAUUAGACCUCUAUUGUGCCGUAAAAAAUCUACUACUAGGUGGGUUUGUCAAAGAGAGAGCAUCUUUCACCUGAUAUUAUUGUAUGCUAAAAUAAAUAGGGAGGCACACAUGUGGUUAAAGAUUAUUUGCCAUUGCCUCAUUCUAGGGAAGCUUAUCAUAAAUAUUACUCAUGACAGGGUCUGCCUGACUUAUGCUUUGAUGUGGGAUAAUAUUGAGAAUAAUAGAGGUGUCGUUAUUUUUCCUCGAUAAAGAAGGCGCUCUACUAUCAGGGGCACAGAUAUAGUUUUGGUGGUUUAUUGAUCAAGUUUCUGAGGGGUGAUGAUAUUAUGGAUGAGGUGCUAGAUUUCAGGCCAUUAGUGGACACACUCCCCAAAGAUGUGACCAGGACACGAGGAUUGGACGUGGAUUAUAGGCCGAUGCUUACUUUACCCGAGCAUUAUGCUCGGGAUGAUGAGAUUACUGGUCAUAUUUAUGGGCUACAAAUACUGUAGAUAAGAGUAGGUGGUAGACCAGCCACGAGAGAGGCGAUUCAUGUUGUCAAGCUAGAUUACCCACUCAUUCACCAUGACUAGACCUCUCUAUAGAUAUGCCCAGGUUUUGUAGAGCCUGUAGAUAAUAAUGUGUCCACAAAUGAGGAGCGACAGAUGACAGAUUCUAAUAUAGAGUCUGAGGAGGAGAAUGUUGUGAGCCCAAAUACAAGAGCAGAGACCUAUAGUCCAGAUGUCAAUGAUGACAUAGAUGAGUCCUGAUCAGGGAGUGCUAUACCACCUCAUAACUUGGUUAUGUCUGCAAGCACCGAGGACAGUGCUAUAUUUUAAGUAUGGGGUGGUUCUCAUUCUUCAAAUUUUUCAUUUGCAACUUCUAUCUUUUUGUUAUUCUUGGAUAUUAUUGAAGCUGUGAUUGAUUAACAUUCUAUCUAUUUGGUCUGUAAUAGUUAGUAAUUAUGAUGCUCUCUGAAUUGGAAAUUCAUAGAAGUUUCUUUAUUUCAUUAUUUUUAGUUCAGAAUUUUAAUUGUUUGGUUAAUUUUAAUUUAAUUUUAGGAGUAAAUUUUUUAUUUUUAGUGUGAUUUUAAUAACUUGUGAUAGUUAGGUGCCUUCCUCUAUGAUGGAUGGAUGACGACCGUCUUAAGGGGAAUUAGCCAUAGGGAGUGAAUAAGUGAGAAGAACCUGACCACUACUCUAGACUGAGAAACUUACAUCAUAGUGAUGUCUAGAACAUGCCCGGUGUGUUUACAAAGUAAAAUAAAGAGUGUUGAAUUUAGGAGAUGAUGUAGGCAUUUUGUUGAUAGCCAUGUUUUAGACCUCUUUUUCCUACCUUUGUGAAUAUUCCUAGUUAGCCCUAUUGAGCUUGUAUCCUAUUUUUCUUUGGCAGUCUCAUAUAUAACUUGUGCCCCUUCUUUGGUCGAACUUAGUUUGAUCCAAGACUCCUAGGCACUUUAAUGAAAAAAUUUAUUGAGUAAGGAGUUGAAAGACAAGUAGGAGAAAAGUGACAGUAAAGCCCCAAAAUAUAUUUAUUGGUGUAAAAAUUAAGGUACAAUGAGGCUGGGAGUUAGGGGAUGAAAAGAAUAAUGAAUGUUCAAGAAAAAUGAAUAAUAUGUUGAAUGAGUAAACUCCCUUCAAUAGUGUAUACUAAUCAACUUAAUGAGAUAGGACCAAAAUAAAAGAAAAGGGGAAGAUAGAUGAGGUGAAGCACUAAUUAUUAAUUGAGUGUUUUUAACAUUCAUGUGAUUUAUUAAAGAGCUUAGGGAGAUUAGAUACUAUUUUUAACCAAAUAGUUCCUACCUGUCCCUUAGCUUAUAUUACAACCUUUAAAGACCUAUUUGAUCCUCAAUCUUAACAUUUGACUAUUAGUGAAGUAAUAAACUAAGGGCAAGCCUAUGGUUUAUCAUAUAUCAUGUGUGAAUUCUUUGCGAGAGUGAACUAAAUUUAUUAUCUGUGUACCCAUUCUUAUAAUAAAUUGCAUGAUUAUGAGUGAAUAUGGGUAACCAUCUUAUUGUGAGGGAGUAUGUGGAGGAUACUUAGGUGACCUAUAUGACUGCUUGGUUGAAUAAUGUGCAUAAGUUUACCGACAUGCUAGAGUCCACUCUUGAGGAUAGGAUGUUUGAAAAUAGUAAUCUCGUGUUUUCAUAUGUGAUAUGACAUGCUUGAUAUGACAAUUGAUAAGUCGUGAGUAUUUUAUGUGUGCCCAACAAAAGUGUCUUGUUCAGAUUGAGGUGUGAAUCCUAGUUGUGUUAUAUAAUUUCCUAGGAUUGUUCAAGGAAGAACAAGUUUCUAAGUAUGGGGUGGUGAUCUUAGAUGUAUUUAUACAUCUAAGUGCCAAUAUUUAGCCAUAUGUGAACUUGUUCUAUGAGCUAAAAUAUGUAAAUUGUAUUGUGUUUGAGCUAAAAUUGUAUUCUCAAGCUAAUGUACAUGAUUAGCAUUGUAAGGAUUGAUCGUGGUGCAAUUGUAUGUGCUUUGACACAUUAACAUGAUAAUAUUGGAUCAUGAAAGCAUUUGGAGUUACAUGUUGAGCAUGAUGACAAUGGAAAAAGGUUUGAAAAGAAUGGAAUAAAGUAUGGAAUGAAGAAAAUAUACAAGGAGUUGGAAAAGAAGAGGAUACCAUGCCAAUGUACCAUGAAACUUAGCCUCCGUAUUAGGCUCCGUGGCACCUUAAGGGAACAAAAUAAGAUGGAACAUUCCAGUGAAGGUCUAGGACAGCUCCAUGAAAUAGACCUUAGGGUUCGUGAUAGCCUCCAUGGCACGGAGGCUGGUAAAUUUUUGAUGGCACUUUCCAGUAAGCAUCUGCAAUACUAGCAUAUCAUAGACCUUUAACUCCGUAAUAAAGUCCGUGACACAGAAAAGGUUAAUUCUCGUUCAUCAAGCCCUAGUAUAAAAGGGGGACACUUAAUUCAAUUUGUGAACAUCUUUGGCAUACAGAUAGCAAUGGCAAAAACACUUGCGAGAGUUUUCUUAGGGUUCUUUCAUUUUUCAACUUCCAACUUUAACUUUGGUAUGAUUAAUUAUAUUUCUUGGAUGUUGAUUUCGAAUAUGAGUGACUAUAAACCCUUGUUUUUGGGUUGAGGCCAAGAACAUGAUUGUAUUUUGAUAUUCUUAGAGUGAUUGAACAUUGGUUUAUCGCAUGGGUUUUUCUUAUUCUCUUGUUUUUACUAUUUUAAUGCUUAUCCACCAUUAAAAUACAUGUUUAAUCCCUUUGUGAACUCGGAAGGAGAAUCAUUAGGAUAGAUCAAAGAGUUUAAGGAGAAAGUUCUUAUUCUUCUACAUAACAAAGGAUUUGAAUUAGUGACUAGGAUAGGAAUAUACCUAGAAGCCUUGUUUGGUCCAUAUGUAGAAAGAUAGCUUAAGGUAUCUAAAUGGUUUAUUGCAUCCUUACUCAAUGAUGUAGUUGUGAUGUCCUUUUAGGUAUAAUAUUAGAGGCUCUGAAAACCAUGAUCGUAAUUUAAAUCCUGUGAAUCAAUAACCCAAUAACCAACACAAUCACGAUAAGGAUAGAGAUUUACAUGAUUGUUUAGAGUGUCUCAACCCUGGAAUUCUCUCUCGUACUAUUUACAUCCUAGAUUAUGUUGCGAUUGACAAACUUUGUUAUUUAUUUAUUUGUUAAAUUAUUUAUUAAAUUAUUAAAAUUAUUUUGAUACUAUGAAACACUUUAAUACAUUAUUAUCGAAACUAAAGUUCAGUAAAUUACUAAUGAAGUAGUCCUCAUGGGUUAGAUAUCCAAUUCUUUUGAGUCACUAUGUUAUUUGUAUGAUCACGUGCACUUGUGUGUAAGAUAGACCACAAUAGGGAGUAAUAUAAUUGAGUUACAUUUAGUACAAUUGUAGUAUUAGUUAAUACGACAUCCUGGAGAAGAAUGUUCAGUGAUGAGAAGUUAUGCCUUUAUCUUCAGCAUUUUAGUUUGAUUACUAACCAGACUAGCUAUAGCAUUGGCUUAGAUUAUAUUCAUUGAUUAUCUCCAUUAGCGCCUUAUGGGCUUAUUUUCAUAUUUUUUGUAUGGACUCUCAGCGGAUCAACUUCAGUUUAUUGAAUUCUUUGUGAUGAGAUUGCGCAGAUAGGACUCAGGUGAUUUCCCCCUGGUUCAAAGUAGAUAGCAAGUAUGGAUUGAUAAAAGAAGGUUAUAUUUUGGGUUGAGAGUCAGUGAUAUGACUCAUGUCUUGGUUUAUUUUUUUCUUGGAUAAACCUUUGUUGUUUUUUGAGGAUAUCGAGAUAGUAUCGGUGUGUUAUGGUUUGAAUUCAUGUGUAUCAGCCUUUUUGGUUCAGUUGGAGGCCAGGUAGCGAUUAAAGUUAAGAUUUGAUUAUUUUCAAGUAAAGUGAGAGUGAUGGUUGAAAAGGGAUAUCUAUGGUGAAAUGUGUAGAAGUGUUAUCUUUUAAUAGAGGUUAUCUGGCAAUCCAUUCUUAGAGCAUGCGGACCUAGUACCUCAUCCUUUCGAGCUUUUGAGAUUCUUCCUAUCCAUUGAUUUUUGGGGACGAAAGUUCAUUUAGUAGUAGAUAUUGUAAUGACCAUUCUGGUCAUUUUUCAUAUUUCCAUUUAUUUUCAUCGUUUGAGCUCCUCUAUGGUUUCCCCAAGUCAUUUAUGACUUGCUGGGAUUGAUCAUUUGUUUAUCGAGAAGUUUGUUUAUUUUUUUAACCAAUUCCCUAUUUGGAAGUCUUAACUGGUUCCAAAUGUCCACCACACAAAAUCUUUACAAAAAAUAAUCUCGAAAGCAAAUUCUGACUACGUCAACAGCUUUAAAAUAUCAAUUAGGCUAGGUAGACCUUUGGUUCGGGUCCUAAUGUACCCAAGCUCAUUCUGACCAUUUGGUCAGAAAGUUAAAAAUUUGAAAAUAUAGGUGUGGGACCUAUAUUUGGUCAAAACACCAUCGGAUUGAACAUCCGACAUUGCUAACGCAUUCGAAACAUCGAAUUUAGUGUGGUUACAUAGUUCAUUCAUAAAAAUCGCAUUCUGACUGAUUCCCGAGGCAUUGUUGCAAACUUGGAAAAUUUUCAAAGUUGAUGGUACCAUGGUGACCGCUCAAGGAUCACCAUAAUAGAACCAUGGCAAUCCCGGCAUGGUGAUCAUAGUCCAUAUAAGGGUGAUUGCGGCAUCUCCUUGCCUGGGGGUCUAGUUAUAGAUCCUAAUGUCGCGAACUUGGUCAUUUUCCCUUUAUCUUUGAGACCUAGAAAUCAAAAAAGGGUGUGAUAACUCAAAAUGAGUAUUAUGGAUAACUUGGGAGCUUACUAAACAUAUUUUAUCGCGAUUAUCAUUCAAAUUAAGGUAAGAUUUCAUUAAUUUCUUGGUUCUUGAUCCAAAACCCUAAUAUAGCUUAGGGUUUGAUUUUAGUGUAAAAUUAGAUUUGAUUUCACCUAUUUCUUGAGGGUUAUGAUUUGAGCAUUGGGUUGACCUCGGAAACACAUUUUCCGUAAGUGGGACUUGCUUAGGAUUUUUGGUGUCAUUUUUGGACCUGAAGCACAAUAGUGCAAUAUGGGUAUUGUUAGACUCAUAUUGAUAAGUAAAUUAUUAUUUGAUAGUAUGAUGGCAUUUUGGGGAUUGCGAAGUGAAGAUAGACGUGUGGUGAGUGGCGUAAGGUUUUGUGGUUUGUCUUUAUGGUAAGGUUCUACCUACUCUUCUUCGAAGAUGAUGUGUGCUAUAUAUGGCAUAUGAAUGUAAAUAUUAGUCUUGACUAUGAGUAGAAUAACUUAGUCUUGAUGAUUGAUGUUUGUGGAUUAGAUGAGGUUUUCAGACUCGUAAGGUGGUAUGUUUAGGAACUUUUAGAAUCCUAUUGCCUUCUCUCUAGAUUGAAUAAUCUUAUGGCAUGGAUAUGAUAUGAUGUUAGGUUUGGGAUAUGGCUUGGAAUUGGAAGUAUGGUUAGUAUAUUUGAACUUAGUUGGGCUAGCCUAGUGAUCUUGAAAUCGUGAUUAGGGUAGAAUUACCUUAAAUGACCUUGUUUCUAGAUUAAUGGCUUACUUGACAUAUAAAAGUUGAACUAGACCUCAGCUUAGUAUAGGGAGUAGAUUGCGUAAAUAUGGAAAUUAAGGAUUAGAAGUGGGUUUGUCUAGCCCACUUAGGCCAAGACUUGAGUUAGGCAUUGUGGACUUAGUUGUGGAUGUUAGGCCUAGUUUAGACUAAUGAGCCUUAUUUAUAAGAUUUUCUUUGUGAGUUGAUAGAUAAUGACUUCCUCGGACUAUGAUUAAUGGCCUUUGAGAUGAUAUUCCACCUAGAAGUGAUGUUGGGCCUAUAUAGAUGUACUUCUUCUUUAUUAUAAUAAUGGGACCUUAGAGAUAAUAUUCCUCGUAUACAUGAUAUUGUCCUAUAGAGAUGACAUUCCUUAUAGUUAUAAUAUAUGAUCUAUAGAUGUGAGAUGCCUUAUAGACGUGAUGUGCCUCAUAGUUAUGAUUUAUGGCCUAGUGAUAUGAUAUAUCUACUAGAUGUGAGAUGACUUACUUAUUAUAUGCCUCCUAGAUGCAAGAUGCUUAUAAAUAUGCUUUACGGCCUAUAAAUAUGUUAUGCCUUAUAGUUAGGCUAUGAAUUAUGAAUAUGAGAUGGCUUAUUAACAUGGGUAUUGAGAUGAGUUUCAGAUAUGUAUGUGGUCCCAAGGUUGUGAUAUUGAUGUUGUAAUGAUUUUGAAUAUAUUACUGGGACAGAGGAAGAUGUGAUAUGAUGUUUAUGAUUCCAAUGUUUGAAUACUGGUGAUGGGAUACAUAGAUGUGGUACUUUCAUGAUCGUUGCAUCGAUGGUUGAUAAGACUCUGAUUAGACUACAAAAUUAUUUUGGUUUUCUCUAACUAAGGAUUAAAGUUCACUUUCUACCAUAAUAAUGGAUUUCUUCAGAAUAAUAACUGCCCAUUUUGAUGAAUAAUUUCUAUGUAAGAAAGGAUUAUAAUGAUGUUUUAAAGACUUGAUUGAGAUAAGUUCCGGUCUAUGAUUUGAUACUACUAAUUACUCAGUCGUGAAAGAUUCCGAGCCCUUGUACACUUCAUAAUGAUUUAGUCCUAAAGAUCUCUCCGGGCAAUAAAAUUAUAAACUUAAACUCUUUUAUCCACGACUUGAGUCCAUGAACCUAUUGUAUAUAUGCUUCUGGAUAAUGUGAUAUUGAUGAUGGGCAAUGAAUUAUGGAAAUAUAACCUACCUUGUCUCUUUUCAUGAUUAUUUACUUAUCCAUCGUGGGUCUUACUCUCUAUUAUUAAUAUUGACUUGGAUAUUAUGAAGAUAUGAUGUUACCUUGCAAGGCCGUAGGAUUUUAUGAUGAUAUGAUAAUACUCGGCAAGGCCAGGAAAUGUUAUGAUGAUGUGAUGAUACCCCACAAGGCUGGAGGAUAUUGUGAUGAUGAUAUUGAUAUCCGACAAGGCUAGAGGUUGAUGAUGAUGGAGAUGGUUAUAAUGAUGAGGUUGUGAUAUUAAUUGUGUACCUUGUAUUCAUUCUUUCAUGUGCAUCGCCUAUCACCAGUAUACAUCUAUGUUUAUCAACUGGUAUGGGACGACUGCAUAGAUAUGGGUGAUAACUAAGCCUUGUGUUGUUGUAUACUGAUUGAACCUUCUGAGCCUUGGGUGAUGGGGGCAUGCAUAGGCUCGACUGUGUGUUUCAUUGUUUGAAAUAGCUGGUUACUCAUGUUAUUAUCAUUAUUAUGAUCAUUGUAAUGUAUAGCUUAUGAUAGAUCGGUCAUUGAUUUGGUAUCGAGAUCCGAGGUAUGAUUCUGGCCUAUUUUAACAUAUGAUUUCAUUAUUAUGCAUGAUUAAUUCAUGAUGAGACAAAUGGAUUAGAAACCCUAAGUAUGCUAGUACUAAAUCCUGAUAGGGUUAUAAUGAGGCAUUAAAAUAAAGAUAUAAUGAUCUAGGUUAUGCUUCGAAUUGACCUUAUAACUAUAUAUAUGUACAUCUUGAUAUAUGUAGCUAUGGUAUUACCGUAUUUCCCUUCCUUCACUUGUGCAUAUUGUUAUUCAUUCCUUGGCCUUGUAUAUUGCUUAUAUCCUUCUUUCCUUCCCUUUUUAUCCGUAUAUUGACCAGGGAUAUAUGGUAUAGUAUUGAGAUUUAUGAGUAUGGCUGGAAUAGGAUAGUUCAUUCUUGAUAUUUUCUUAGCCUUAGUAUAUUAGUCACUUGAACAUGAAUAGGAUAGAAUAUCCUUGUUAUCCAAUUGGAUUUGCUAUAUGCUUACUGGACUUUUCGAUGUAAUUUUCCACUAUUUUAUAUUUUAUGUAUAUUUGCUAUAUCUUUAGAGCUCUAUUGACAGUUUCUACUGAGUAAAAUUCAUUUGGUAUUUAUACUACACUUAUGCGGCCUAUAGAUCAUAGUAUGUGUUAUUGUCAUUGAUGUGUGUAAGUUUGUAACGACCCAAGACUAUCCCCUAGUCAUCACACGGUGCCCAUGACUCCGAAGGACCACAAGCUAACCAUUUGCUAAUAGUUGUACCUGAGCACUGCAUAAUAUAAUACAAUAAAUGCAGAUAGCUGGCAAAAACUUUCCAUAAGGUUCAAAACAUCUAAAAUACUCAAACUAAAAACUGAAUACUAAUACAUAUAUCUAAAAAAGGCUCUAAUUGUAUGAACUGUGGAGUUGAUGGGACAUGUCCCCAAAUAACUCCAUCUACUUAUAAUAAAGUGAAUCUAAUGAAGUACUGAAAUAAGAAGCAUCCUCAGAUCAUGAGGAUUCACUACUACAUCCACUGCAACUGAUUAGUUUGGACUGCUAAGGGUGCUCUAGGGCUCAUGAUUUUGAACCUAUGGCGUCAAAUAAAACACCAUAGUGCAAAUGCAUCAGUACAGGAAUAUACUGAGUAUGUGGAUGAGGUAAGGCUAAAUACAAGGGCUUAUGCAUGAACAAUAACUAACUGAAUGAUAUACAAGAGCUGGAUUAGCAUACAUAGAGAAUCUGUAACUACUUAACAUACAGUGCAUACUGUGACUGAGCAUACUGGGACUGAAUCUGAUUAGUAAUACUGAAUAUGCCGUCAAUCUGAGGUUUCUGAACAUACUGAGAUUAUACAUAUCUGAAGCUACUGAAACUAAUAUCCGUACUUAUUAAUACUGAGAAACUGGAUGACUGAGCCUAAUGAUAAUUGAUACCGACUGGCUGAAUCUGAGAUCAAACCUAUCUAGUGGGAUGAUCUCUAAAUCUUCUAAUAACGAUUAAGAUUGACUAAGCUUGAGAUCAAGCCUAACUAACGGGUGAUCACUGGAACUGAUAUUGAGAAAACUCAACAAAAUCUGAGACUGAGAUCAAGCCUAUCUAACGGGUGACCUCUGUAGGUACUGAUAUUGAAUAAAUUUAUGUGAGACCCAAGCCUAUCUAGUGGGUGGUCUAUGAAUCUAUGGAACUAUCUGAGUUCCUUACUGAGAUUGAUGACUGUAUCUGAUAGUCCUAAUUUAUGAGUUCUACUCCGAAGACUGAUGCUGAAACUAUAAUUGUGGGAGUUCUCACUUAACCGACAUGCCCCGAAUCUGAUCUGGUAGGGUCCAACCUAUAACCCCAGCUAGAAGGGUGUCAACAACGUGCCACGGGUAAAUACCUCUACUAUAGUCAAGCCUCUCUAACGGGUGACCCUUAAUAGGAAGUCAAGCCUAAGGCAGUAUGAUAGUCAAGCCUUAAUAUAAUGGGUGACUCCUGGUCCUGCGCUGGUUAUGCGGUUUUGGAGUACAGGGAUUGUUGCUAAUGACUCUGCCUCUCUAACGAGUAAGCCAUUAUCCCUGCACUCACUCGGUGCUAGUUACUACUCCCAACUGAAGAACUCUGAGUUACUACUCCCAACUGAAGAACUCUGAACUGAUUCUUAAUUGAACUUAGAUUGAGCUGAAUCUGUUACUGAUCAUAUUUCUUGACUGAUCUGACUGAGUUCACUAGGUUUUGUUAUCUGACGGAAUACUUAUGAAUUCUACUUUCUACCUGAAAGUGACUGAUAUCUAAGGCUGGAUUGAACUAGUACUGAGAUUUGUGAAUUUUUCCUAAAUGUUCUGUCACUGACUGAAUUCUAUGGAUCAUAGCAUGACUGAGAUUAUCUUGAGACUGACUCAGCUCUAGACAAGCAGCGAAGUUUUUGGGUAUAAAUACCCUCAGGACUUGAUAGCAUAAAUUAAUAAGACAGAACCACACUUGAAUAUCAUGACAAUGGACUAUCAUUCACAACACAAUCAAUACGAUAUCUCGUCAAUCACUUAAAUGUCAUAAGCAUGUAAAUGUAUAGGGUAGGAAUACUAAUAUCUCAUAGUUUUUCAAUACGGAAUACUCAUAAAAAUAAUGCAUGCAACUUAUCAUAAUACAUUCACUAAGGCAUUUUAACAAACACUUGGCAUGCAUGGGCUUGUACACAAUUGGGGAUUUCUAUUCAACAUGCUAUAAUGGCUCUAAUUCCUUCACAUAAGCAUUUUAUCAAACAUAUGGGGAGCAUGCUUUGCUUAUUCAACAAUUUCUACACUUAAUUGACAUAAACACACCACUUAACAAGCAACUUAAAGAGGGUUUAUCAUGAACAUCACAUGAAUAUCACAUACUAGGGUCAAAGCUUGAAUACCUUAUAAACAAACAUGAAUCACAACUCAAUAAUAGCGUGAACAUCAAUUUCAACUCACAUUAAUCAUGAAAACUCAUAAACAUAAAAGCUUUAAAAUUUAGAAAAGGGUUCUUGAGCUUCUUGGAUGAAAAGGACCUAAGAAUCAACAUCUGCAUACCUUAGUUUUCUAGAUUCUUGAAGUUCUUGAAGACUCUUGGAAGUAUUCUUGAGAUUGCUUUUGAAACUUGAGGGCUAGGGUUUUCUAUCUUUGAGACAGAGUAUUUUGUUCUUGAUAAAGUAAUGAGAAUAGAUGAGCAACUUUGGCUGUUGGGGUUUCAAAUCCCGUGUAGAGACUGAUUGGGGCUUUAGGGAAAUUACCAAAGGGUCCCUAAAAUUUACAUAAUGGAACCUGAACGAAAUCCCAAUUUUACACGUUGGCGCAACACACCAUAAGCGUGCCAGCUUACUAGAAAGUGGACAAUUGGGAAACUGCUUGAUAGCGCGAUACGGUGGAACUCGCGUUGCCACCCUGGUUGCGAACUGGAAAGGCACCGCGAUAUGUUGGUAUCGUAAAGGCUCACUGGAAUUUGAAAAUUGCCAUUUUGUCUAACUCCGCAACGCGCUAAAGUGCCAGGUGGCACACUGUCUCACUAAAAUGGCUCUAACUCUUCGCCCGAGUGUUGGAUUUGGACAAAUUUGGUAUCGACGGAAAUCUUAUUCCAUUAUCUUCAUAACAAAAAGUUAAUAUUAGAGAAAUUCUACAUCUUUCAAAAUAUCUCUCACUUGGGAAGUCACUUUAAAAUAUUUUAGGGCCGGAUUUACACUUCACUUGACACGCUCUAAAGCUCAGACUACAACAGGAGUUUGCGAGGUCUUACAAUAUCAUGCAGAGUAGCCAUGAUCCAGAGACUUAAAAUCAGAUCCUGAAAAUCAGAUCCUGACAUUCUAAGUAUUGCAUAUCUCUCUCUUAUGUAUUAGAUUAGUAUCUAUGUUGUGUUCGGAGAAAUGUUGUAUCAGUGUAAUUCCUUUGAUAUCUCACUUUUGUACUCUUAUAUUAUACUUGAAGCUCUUGUAUUGAUACCACCAAGUUUUGAGACUUUAUUAUAUAUUUAAUUAUCUUAUUUCAUUUAUUCCACUUUCCUUUCUAUAUAUAUUUGGCCUUGGAUAGUUCGUUACUAGCUGUUCUGGACUACAAAAAUUGGCUUGUCUAUCGGUGAGUUAUGGUAGGUGCCAUCACGACAUGAGAAAUUGGAUCGUAACACCUUGUCUUAUAAGAAAGUCCUAAUUGAGGUAUUGGAUGGACAAAUUUGUAGACUAAGAAUCAAGUAUGUUGCGUCAACGAUGGUCCUACGGAGGAAUCAAAAGGUAUAAGAGGAUACAUGGGAAGCCAAGGAAGAUAUGAAGGACAAAUACCCAUUCUUGUUCCUCGAAUUGGAUGAAAGUAUGUAAGGUAAGAGUUUUGUUUCAUCUUUUAAGUUUUUGAGUUUGUCAUUUGAUUUUGGUUUGUUCUUGGUAUUCUCGUGCUAAAGUUUUCUAACUUAUCAUUCGGGGAUGAAUGAUCCUAAGGAAGGGAUAAUGUAAGACCCUUAAAAUUUUGAUUAUUUUAUUUUGACCUUCCCAUGUUCGUAAUAUUGAUUUUUGACUUGAAUUAUGUCUAGGUAUAUUAAAAAGGUAAUUUGGAAGAGUUUGAAAUUUUCAAAAAGGGUUUCAAGUUUGGAACUCUGAGGCAGUGUGCCUCCAUGACAUCACCAUUCCAAGGAGGUUAUCCUCGGUGUGGUGUAUAGGUUAGCCUCCGCAAUAAGGCCGUGCCACACUAAGGUGAAAAUUUCAUCCAGUUUUAUUUUUUCACUUGGGAUAAGGGGCUUUUGGGUCUUUUCACCCUUUCCACGACUUAUAAAUAUAAAAAGAAAGAUUUUUUCUUUAGUUUUCAAAGAUCAAACUCUAUUUUAUUCAUCUUUAACUCCCCAACCAAGAAAUCUUAAGAAUUUCAUAGAGAAUUCAUCAUCCGGUCUUCAAACUUCAAAUUAACUUCAAAUUCUUGUGUGUUUUCGGCAUGUUUCUCUUCUCUAAAUUUAGUUUUUACAUUGUGGUAUGAAUUGAAUGAAUUUUCAUGUGAUUUAAUUGUGGCUUUUGAAUUAAGUUUUAAGGAUUUUGGUUGUUACUGAUUGAAUUACUUGUCCUAUGUUUUGAAUCUAUUAUUCAUGCUUUAAAUUGAUGUUUUUGGGAUGAAAUUAGUACAUUAUUUAAAUAGUUGAAAUGGGGGACAUGGAUUUACCCAAAUUGGAUUAAUUUUGGAUUAGAAUUGCAUGAACCACAUUGCGAAUUUGAUUUUAAUUAUGAAAAAUUGCAUGGUUUAACUUUCUUUUGAACUCAAUGUAUUACAUUAAUGGAUAAAUGGAUAUAAAAAUGGAUUUGGAUGGCCUUGAUGUCCAUGGUUUUGAUUUUAAUAGAACUUGGUAGUCCAAUUUGGUUAUGUGAAUUGGUUUGGCAUGUUUAAUUUUUCUUUCUAGUAUAUUGGUAUGACGAUACCAAGUCGUAAAUGCCUUAAUGAAUGUCUUUCGGGUUAAUGAUUGUAAUUAUGUGUAAAUUAAUUUUAAUUUGGACAUAAAGGGGGUUGUGUAGCUGAUAGUAAAGGUGUAAGUCCCGAGGGGACGAACACUAGAAAUCAUGUUUGCCGGUGUUGGGGGUUUAUAUGAUUGUGUGCUUGACACACACUUGAUAGAUAUAUAUUUGGGACUACGAUUGCCUCUGGUGGCUUUAGUUUUCCCUCGAAUUUUCCUCAAUUCGUGUGGCGACCACACAUUUGGUCCUUUUCAGCAGGGGAAGCUGAACCCAUUAAGCUUGUUGGUGGCCUUAGGAUAGAUACAUCUACACAAUCCAGGAUUAAUAAUUUUAAACACUCAUAUCCAUGACCUUUUUCGUAUCUCAGCAUCUUAUAUAUGCUUAUAUGAUUGUGUGCAUAUGGUUUUGACUUAUUUUGGAAUUGGCAUUAUUUUAUCACUUUCCAUGAGUUACAUGAGUGCUUAUUCCACUGACCAUCCUAGGACACUACAUCAUUUCAUGAUGUAGGGUUCAAAGACUUUUCUAUUGCUCCUGUGGAACAUUAGGUGGAUUAGCAUAUCUAUUGAGUUGCCGUGAAGUGGUGAGACACUAUUCUUCAAAAGGAUUUAUCAUUUCAUCAUUCUCUCUUUACUUUCGUAGUACUUUAGAUUGUUUUUUAUCAUAGUCGGGGGCAUAUCCCUACAGUUGAUUUUAGAGGCUAUUGUGGACAGAUGUGCAUUUUCGUUGUUUUGACUCCUAAUUUUUAUUUGAGUCAUCUAAUCAUCUAUUUACUACUGGCUGAUUGGCUCUUGUAUUCUUAUUCUUCUUCUUCUUCUUCUUCUUCUUCUUCUUAUUAUUAUUAUUUUUAUGUUGGUGUGAUGGGGAUGGUCUUCGAUCCAUGAUGGGCUUGAAAUAUCCGUCAUAGUUAGGUCCUGGUUUGAAUCAUGGCACAAGUAUUUUCGGCAUGAAGAUCAACAAGGAUACUAUCGAGCAAAAAUAUUGACUUGCGGUUGAUGUUGGGUGUAUUUAUGUAUUCUAGUAUCACUAUUCUAGUCUUUUUAGCUAUGUUUUGAGGAUGAUUCUAUGAUAUAUGGGUUGAUAAUUGAGAUAAAUAUGUAUCAAAGUGUUAAAUCAUGUGUUUACAAUGGUUACAGGUGUUUUCUAACAAGUUUGUACUUCAAAGAGUCAAUUUGAGUUCAAUAGAGAAAACUAGUCUCUCAAGCUUGAGCUAGUUGCUUUUCAAGUCUAUCUUGUUGGAUUCUGUUGUCUUUUAUGUGUUCCAAAUGAUUUUAAUGAUGUUAUUAUAUGUGUUACAACUUGUUAUAAGUGUACAAAGUUCAAUUGAGUCAAGGAAAGAGUAAAACAUUGAGUUGAAAAUCAUGGAAAUUUGCCUAGUCUAAGCUCGUAUUUUUUAUUCAUCGUUAUAGAUAUAGUAUUGUUUGUACCUCUAAUUUGUGCGGUGUGUUCUUGUAGAAUCAUUUGUGAUAUUAAUAUGAUGAUAUAUGGAUGAUAUAAAGGCUGGAAAAGCAUUGGAAAGACACCACAAGACAAGGGAUGAAAGGAGAAAGGACCAACACUUAACAAAAAUUUGCAAGACAACUUCCAGUAGAACCAUGUGAUUUGCGUGUGCCACAUGCUCUAUUCCUAUUGAAUAUAGGGUGUGUUGCAUGAUACAUUCUGUAUUAAUAUAGGGUUCGAUGAAUGGUCUACUCCACCCCUGAGCGUUUCAAGCUAAUUCGACUCCAACACGGACUUGGCUUACCCUUGUGUUAUAAACACAUAUUGUAUCAUAUUUUUACAUAUCUUUUGAGUUAUUUUGGAGAUCGAGGGGCUUCUACAACUUCAUAAUUAGCUUUUUAUUAUUUUCAUUUAGUUCAUGCAUGUUUUUAGUCAUUAAUUACAACCUUGUGAUUUCGAUUAUGACUACACGUGGCUAAACGCCCUCUUUUCGGGGUUGAAGCCAAGAACAUGAGUAUUAUUAUUUUGAAUUAAGUUUGUUUAAUUUGAUUAUCACUAUUGGUUGUUUUUUUAUUUUUGUUAUAACUAUUUCAAGGAUUCACGACCCUUAUAAUACAUCAAUUGUCAACCUUGUGAACUCGAGAGAGGGAAUAGAAAGAUAGAACAUGGAAAUAAAUAGAAUAUGGUUUGUCUUUCUUUAUGAAAUAAAGAAUUCAAAUUAGUAUCUAGGACAGGGAUGUACUUAGAUGCCUUACUUGAUUCAUACCUAGGAUGAUAGUUUAAAGAACUUAAGUUAACUAUUACAUCCCCGCUCAAUGAUGUAGUUGUAAGGUUCCACUUAGGUAAAGGAUUAGAGGUUGGGAAACCAUAAUCAUGCAAUUAACCCUACGAAUCAACAACCAAGAUAAGCAAGUUAACGAAUGAAAUUCUAUUACAUAAUAUGAUUGUUUAAAGUGCUUCAACCCUGGAUUUUCUCCUAUUUAUUGUCUCAAGACCUUUACUUUAUGCUUUGUUUAUUUUACUUGCAAUUAACAAACUCCAAACUCUAGUUUGGUUACUCUAGCAUCAAUUGAAUCUAAAUUGUGAAUUAAAAUCAAGUCAUUGCCGAAUCAAGUCUCUGUGGGAUCAAUACUUAGCUUCUUGAAAGCCAUUUUACUACCUGAUAUGACCACGUACACUUGAGUGUGCGCUUGGGCACUAUUACAUUUUUGGCAUUGUUACCGGGGACUUGUUAUUUGCCAAUUGUUUAUUUAAGUUUUACUUUUAAAUUUAUGUGGUGUUUUUACGCUUGGUCUUGGUUUUGUUAUUGCUGGAAAUAGGUUGUUAGGUUAAUACGCUGGCAAGGGUAUGGGAAUUGGUAGAACCAAGCCCUGAACCCGAGCAAGACUUUCAUCAAUGUAGGAGAGAAACAAUCCUUUUUCCCAGAAUUUCUCAAAUCCAAGAACACCAAGAGAAUAUUGUUCCAAUGGAUGAACAACAAGCAUCCCGAAGGACAGUUAGGAAAGUGGCAGUCCUACUUCCAACGAACUUGACUUCCCAAAUUCAAAGAUCGACUGCUGGGGGAAUUUCUAGUUGAAAAACAAUAUGGUGAAACUUCUCAUCAGUAGUGGAAAAUUUGUAGGGCCUUCACAUGAGGAUCCACAAGACUGAGCUUACUGAUACAUUCAUUCCAACUGGGGUGAGUACAGAUUAUGUGAGGCUGACAUUUUUUCCCCAUUUACUAUUGGGGGAAGCUAAAAGGUGGUCGGAUGGGUAGCAGUCAAUUCAAUCGCAUCAUGGGAUGACUUAUCCAGAAAGUUCCUCAUUUGAUUCUUUCCAUCAGGCAAGACCGCGAGACUUCAUAGUAAGAUAGUGAGCUUCAAAUAGAAGCCUGAUAAAAAUCCAUAUCAUGCUUGGAAACAUUUUAAGGCCCUUCUUCGGGAUUGUCCACAUCACCAACAUUCCAAUGAGGUACUUGUUCAUACUUUUGUAGAAGCUCUUGAUCAUAAUACGAAGAUUUUGCUAGAUUCAGCCGUAGGUGGUCAAGCGCUAGAAUUGACUUAUGAUGAUUUGUACACAUUAUUGAACCGCUUAGCACAAGGAAAUCCAGAGUGGCAUUCAAAUUGUAGAAGCGUCACAAAAAUAAUUGUGGGUGUACUAGAGGUGGACCAAUUCACAGCCUUAUCAGGACAGGUUUUUGCAUUAAAGAAUUUGAUCAACACUCAGUUCAGCAGCAUGAAAUUGGGAGCAGCACAACCUGCAGCCACAGUCAAUUCUAUCCAACAAGCUAUAGGUUGGUGUGAAAUAUGUGGAAAUAAUGGCCAUUCAACGGCCACGUGUGCUUCAAAUCUGGAAUCAGUGAUGUAUGUAGGGAAUUCUCAAAGGCCAAAUUAUGGUAAUGCCUACAACAUGAAGUGACAUACUCAACCACUAAAUCAACUAUGGAACACCCCACAGAAAUAGUCCCAAUCAAAUCAGUCAACAAAAAACAUGGAAAAGAUAUUAAAUCAACUCUUCGCUGGUCAAGCAUAAAUGGCUGUGGAUAUGAAAAGUCAAUAAACAAAAUUACAGAAUCAGAAAGUGACCCAGAGAAGCUUAGAGUUACAAAUUGGGCAGUUACAGCAAGCACUAAAUACAAGACCACAAGGUGGUUUGCCAGCAGAUACGAAAAAUCCAAAGCAGGUUAUGGAAUCACCUUGAGAAGUGGUAAAGAGCUUCAAGGAGAUCUUCUAAAUUAAACUAAGGAGGUAGAUACUGAUGUGAUGACUGAACAGGUAAAUGAAGAAGUUGCUGAAAAAUCAAGAAAGUCUGAGUACUUGAAAGAAUAAAGUUGCUGAACUAAAAGUGCAUAUAACACUGCCACUACCCUCCCUCAGAAGUACAUAAAAGCGAUGGAGGAUGCAAUAUUUAAGAAGUUCUUUGACAUAUUCAAAGAGCUUCAUAUAAAUUUACCUUUGUUAGAUAUUUUGAAGGGUAUGCCCAAGUAUAAAUGGUACUUGAGGGAUGUGGUGGCUAAUAAGGUGAAAUGUAGGAUGUAGGGGCAAUAACACUCACUGAAGAGUGUAGUACGGUAAUAACACAGAAAAUCCCCAAGAAAUUGAGAGAUCCGAGGAAGUUUACUCUCUCUAUCCAAAUUGGAAGCAAAGUGGUCCACACACUGAGUGACUUAGGGACAAGCAUAAAUUUGAUGUCCAUGUCUCUGUUUGAAAAAUUGAGCUUAAGAAAUCCUAAAGCGAGCACCUUGGUUCUACAGCUAGUAGAUGGGUUAUUUGCAUAUCUAGAAGGAAUAAUUGUGGAUGUACUUAUAAAGGUUGGUAAAUUCAUUAUUCCUACUGACUUUUUUGUUCUUAAUUUUAAGGAAUACGAAUAGGUACCAAUCAUCUUGGGGCGCCCAUUCUUAGCAACCGAAGGAGCAUUGAUUGAUGUUAGAGAAGGCACACUCAAAAUGAGGGUAGAGGAUGAAGAGGUGGUAUUUGAUGUAUACAAAGCACCCAUACUAAUGUCCCAUUAUAAAGAUUUGUGUAUGAUAAAUAUUAUUGAAGGAGACAAGUCUGUGGUGAUUACUCUACCAAAGACCUCUUUGAACUACCUGAUUGAGCAACCUAAGCUUCUACUGCCUAAGACUAAUUUGAUACACAUUGAAAAUCCUGAAAACGCUAAAGUUAAGGAAUCUGCUGCACUUGAAAAUUUACACCCAAGAGGGGUAAAUAGAAUAAGAAGAUAGAGGCUAAGUGUGAGAAAGAGGAGGACGGAAUAUGGUUGAGUUGAGUAGGGUCAUUCCGCGACACUAAAUCAGGUGUUGCAUGGGAGGAAACCCAAGUUAAUUAGGUAUGUUUUCUUUUUAAUUUAGUUUUUAUUUCACAUAGUUUUUGUUAUUAAUUAUGUCACAGGCUGAUGGAAAGUCUGAGUACCAAAAACCUGAGCUUGAAGCAUGGUGACGACUGAGUGUAGGGUCCCGCGGAUCCCAUAAAUGCAAAAGAUACUACUAGCUAGGACUAGAGGCCUCAGGGAGUAUUUCUUUCUCUUACAUUUAAAUUCACUUCAGGGACAAAGUAGAUUUUUAAGUAUGGGGCUGGAGAAAUUUCCAAAUUUUUGCUCAAUUUAAAAUUUUUUGUGUAAGAUAUUAGAGUUGGUGCUAUUUUUUAUUGCAUGGUGCAAGUUAUUUUUUUGGUAAAAGCAUGUUGAUUGGUGUGAAUUGCUAUUUUUGAGAGUCCUAGGCUCAAGUUUGUGACUCUUGUACUUAUUGUCUUAAAAUUGAAUUUGUGCUAUUAUUUGGCUGGGAGUCUAUGAUGAUCCUAUUGAGUUGAUCAUGUGCCAUGUGCGUGUAAGAAUUUUGUAUAUUUUUUAUUGCAUGUGAUGUCUACAUCUUGCCCGAUGUGUUUGUGAAGUGAAAUAAAGAAUGUGGGUUUAGGAGAUGAUAUAGGUAUUUCUUUGAUAGGCUUAUUUUUAUACCUUUUAUUUGACCUACCCUUGUGCAUUAUCCUAGCAAGAUCCAUUGAGCCUUUAGUUUUUUCUUUGGCAACCUCGUAAGUAGCUUAAUACCUUCUUUGAUCCAAAAACCUCCUAGGCGCUUUAAUGAAAAAUUAAUUGAGUAAGAAGUUGAGAAAUAAGAGCGAAAAGGUUAAAUUGAUUCCCCAAGGUAAUAGUUAUUGGUGUUAAUAAUUGAUGUGUGGUGGAUGGGUGUGAUAUAAGUUAUGCUAAAAAUAUUUCCAUGAUUGUGAAAAAAAAAAAAAGAAAAAUUGAUUCAUGUGGUAGUAAACUAUGUGUCCACCAAGUGUUUGUGAAAAUGCUAAAAAGAGAUGGGGCAAAAACAAAAGCUAUGAGUGGAAGAAAAAGUCUAAUUUAGUUGUUCGAUAUUGGUUAUAAAUGUAUAAUGUAGUGUAUUAAAGUUCUUAGAGAGGUAGUCACUGUUCCCAAAUAGUUCCUACCCGUCCCUUAACCUACAUUACAACCCAGAAAAGUACUAAUUGAUCCUAAGAUAUACAUUCUGAUAUUAGUGGAGAAUAACACUAAGGGAAAGCCUAUGGUUCAUUGUGUGUAACUUGUGAAUUCUUGGUGAGAUUGAGCGUAGUUUGAUUCUAGUACCCAUCAAGUUCUGAAUUACUUUGUUAUGAGUGAUUAUGGGUAACUCUCUUGUUGUGAGGGCACAUGUUUGAUGAACAUGGGUGAUUUGUAUAAUGUAUUAAAUUGAAUGAUAAGCAUGAGUUUGCUAACUAGGUGAGUCAAUUCUUGGGGCUAGGAUGUUUUGAGGUAGUGUUCAUGAGCUUUCAAUUGUGUAAAUAACAUGCUUAGUGUACUAACUUGCAUUCUAUGUAGUUAUUAUAGUACUAGCUUGAGUGACUUGCAUUUAGUAUAAGUGUAGAGUAUCCUUAGUUGAUGAUGAUUAUAGUUAAGAGUUGUUCAAGGACGAACAAGGCUUUAAGUGUGGGGUGGUGAUGUUGGGCAUAUUUAUGCAUUCUAGUGUCACUAUUCUAGUAUUUUUAGCUUUGUUUUAAUGAUGAUUCUAUGCUAUAUGGGUUGAUAAUGAGAUAAAUAUGUAUAAAAGUGCUUACGCAUGUGUUUACAAUAGUUACAAGUGUUUUCUAACAAGUUUGUACUUCAAAGAGACAAUUAGAGUUCAAUAGAGAAAACUAGUCUUUCAAGCUUGAGCUAGUUGCAUGUCUAGUCUAUCUUGUUGGGUUCUAUUGUGUUUUAUGUGUUACAAAUGGUUUUAAUGACGUUAUUAUAUGUGGAUAAACUUUUUAGAAGUUUAAAAAGUUCAAUUGAGUCAAGGAAAGAUUCAAAACAUUGAGUGGAAGAUCAUGGAAAUUUGCCUAGUCUAAGCUCUUGUUUUUUAUUCAUCGUGAUGGAUAUAGUGUUGUUUGUACCUAUAAUUCGUAUGGUGUGUCAUUUUAGGAUCAUUUGUGAGCUUAAUAUAAUGAUAUAUGAAUGAUAUAAAGUCUUGAAAAGCAUUGUAAGGACACCACAAGACAAAGGAUGAAAGGAGGAAGGACCAACACUUAACCAAAAUUCAGAGGACAACUUCCAGUAGCACCAUGAGAUUUGUGUGCAUCACAUGCUCUAUUCCUAGGGAAUAGGGAGUGCGUAUAAUGCUCCAUUACAUAGGAAUAGAGGGUCUGACACAUGAUCUACUCCACCCCUUGGCGUUUCAAGCUAAUUCGAGUCCUACUCGAACUUGGCUUACCCUUAUGCAAUAAAUACACAUUGUAUCAUGUUUCUAUAUACAUAUUUCGACAUAUUUUGGAGAUCAAGGGGCUGCUACAACUUCAUAAUCAGCUUUUUAUUAUUUUCAUUUAGUUCAUUCAUAUUUUUAGUCAUUAAUUACAAUCUUUUGAUUGAGAUUAUGACUAUGCGUGGCUAAACGCCCUCUUUCCAGGGUUUAAGCCAAAAACAUGAGUAUUAUUAUUUUGAAUUAAGUUCGUUUAAUUUGAUUAUCACUAUUGGUUGUUUUUUUAUUCUUGUUAUAACUAUUUUAUGGAUUCACGACCUUUAUAAUACAUCAAUUGUCAACCUUGUGAACUCGAAAGAGGGAAUAGGAAGAUAGAACAUGGAAAUAAAUAGAAUAUGGUUUGUCUUUCUUUAUGAAAUAAGGAAUUCAAAUUAGUAACUAUGACAGGGAUGUACUUAGAUGUCUUACUUGAUUCAUACCUAAGAUGAUAGUUUAAAGAACUUAAGUGAACUAUUACAUCCCCGCUCAACAAUGUAGUUGUAAGGUUCCACUUAGGUAAAGGAUUAGAGGUUGAGAAACCAUAAUCAUGCAAUUAACCCUACGAAUCAACAACCAAGAUAAGCAAGUUAACGAAUGAAAUUCUAUAACAUAAUAUGAUUUUUUAAAGUGCCUGCAGAAGUAGAUUGAUAAAUGUUAUGGGUUUUAUGGAGUGUCCCAAUGUCUCCUUCUAGCUCUGGAUUUUUAAUGUCUUCCGAUCGACAUAGCUCUGCACACUGCUGAGUUAGCUGAUUUGUAGCUAUAGACUUCAGUUUAUCUUCAUUAGUCUUUAGCUUUUCUAUCUCAUUACCCAUACUGUCCACUUUCAUUGAAAGCGUAGUUAGGGUGUUAAGUAUUUUUUCUAGAGUAUCUUCCUCUACUAUUUCAGUCUGUGUAGCUUUGUCUUGAUAUGUAAUCUGCAAUAACAUUUUUGUUAGUACUGAUCACUUCAAUUGUAAAUGUGAAAUUUAAUAUAUUCAAAACUAGUCUCCGAAUCUCUUUUGUUGUAACUGAAUUUUGUAUUUUCUUUGUUAACCACCAGCGUACCUGUGUAUUAUCUGUUCGUACAAUAAAUUUGUUAUAUACAAUAUAUGGCUCAAAUGAUAAUAA